rnacentral:misc_RNA from 1 species
GUGAAUCAUCGAAUUUUUGAACGCAAAUUGCGCUUCCUGGCAUCCCGGGAAGUAUGCCUGUUUGAGGGUCAUUAUUAAUACAAAAUCGGUUUAUUUACAAUUUGUGACGUUUCCGGCGUUUGGGCUAUCAUAACAUUUUUGGUUAAGAGGCUUGAAAUUGACCUUCUUUGCGCAUUUUUUAACUUUCAUAAAUUUUUUUAUUCUUCUAUUCUUAAUGCCAAAAUCUUAUUCCAUGCGAUCACAUCUUUUGGCUUCGUGUCCAUCAAAUUUUCAUUAUUUGACCUCCCAUCAUG